rnacentral:tRNA from 1 species
UCCCUGAUGGCUCAGAUGGUAAAGAGUCUGCCUGCAAUGCAGAAGACCCAGGUUCGAUCCCUGGAUUGGGAA